UAGUCCACGCCGUAAACGAUGAGUGCUAGCUGUUGGGUCUUUAGACUCAGUGGCGCCGCUAACGCAUUAAGCACUCCGCCUGGGGAGUACGGUCGCAAGAUUAAAACUCAAAGGAAUUGACGGGGACCCGCACAAGCGGUGGAGCAUGUGGUUUAAUUCGAGGCAACGCGAAGAACCUUACCAGACCUUGACAUGCCUCUUUUGGAUUUCAGAGAUGAUUUCCUUCGGUUCGGCCGGGGAGUGCACAGGUGCUGCAUGGCUGUCGUCAGCUCGUGUCGUGAGAUGUUGGGUUAAGUCCCGCAACGAGCGCAACCCUCAUUUUUAGUUGCCGGCAUUUAGUUGGGCACUCUAAAGAAACUGCCGGGGUUAACCCGGAGGAAGGUGGGGAUGACGUCAAGUCUUCAUGGCCCUUAUGGUCUGGGCUACACACGUGCUACAAUGGCAAAUACAAAGAGCAGCGACCCCGCGAGGGAUAGCUAAUCUCCAAAAUUUGUCUCAGUUCGGAUCGGACUCUGCAAC
rnacentral:rRNA from 1 species